GAUUUCUCUGCGUCUGACCACU
rnacentral:miRNA from 1 species